GCAUAUCAAUAAGCGGAGGAAAAGAAACCAACAGGGAUUACCUCAGUAACGGCGAGUGAAGCGGUAACAGCUCAAAUUUGAAAUCUGGCCUCACGGUCCGAGUUGUAAUUUGUAGAGGAUGCUUCGAGCAUGGUCUGGCCUAAGUUCCUUGGAACAGGACGUCAUAGAGGGUGAGAAUCCCGUAUGCGGUCAGGUGCCUACGCUCAUGUGAAGCUCCUUCGACGAGUCGAGUUGUUUGGGAAUGCAGCUCAAAAUGGGUGGUAAAUUUCAUCUAAAGCUAAAUAUUGGCCAGAGACCGAUAGCGCACAAGUAGAGUGAUCGAAAGAUGAAAAGCACUUUGGAAAGAGAGUUAAACAGUACGUGAAAUUGUUGAAAGGGAAGCGCUUGCAACCAGACUUGCGCGCGGCCGAUCAUCCGGUGUUCUCACCGGUGCACUCGGCCGUGCUCAGGCCAGCAUCGGUUUUGGCGGCUGGAUAAAGGCCCUAGGAAUGUAGCUCCUCUCGGGGAGUGUUAUAGCCUAGGGUGCAAUGCAGCCUGCUGGGACCGAGGACCGCGCUUCGGCUAGGAUGCUGGCGUAAUGGUUGUAAGCGGCCCGUCUUGAAACACGGACC
rnacentral:rRNA from 1 species